rnacentral:rRNA from 1 species
UGGGGAAUUUUGCACAAUGGGCGGAAGCCUGAUGCAGCGACGCCGUGUGGGGGAUGAAGGCCUUCGGGUUGUAAACUCCUUUCGUCAGGGACGAAGUUUGUUUGACGGUACCUGGAUAAGAAGCACCGGCUAACUACGUGCCAGCAGCCGCGGUAAUACGUAGGGUGCGAGCGGUUUCCGGAUUUACUGGGCGUAAAGGGCUCGUCGGUGGUGUGUUGCGUCGUCUGUGUAAUCCAGGGUCUUAACUUUUGGUUGGCAGGCGUUACUGGCAUUGCUUGAGUGCUGUAGGGGAGACUGGAAUUCCUGGUGUAGCGGUGAAAUGCGCAGAUAUCAGUAGGAACACCGAUGGCGAAGGCAGGUCUCUGGGCAGUUACUGACGCUGAGGAGCGAGAGCAUGGGUAGCGAACAGG